rnacentral:misc_RNA from 1 species
ACCGGUUCAUCAUGGUACAUCAAGAUUAUCAAACCAAAUUUGUAAUUAUACGAGCUUUGAAGACGAACCAGGCAGAAGAAGUGGCCAGUCAUCUUUUGGACAUUUACACAACUUUCGGGAUACCUAUUAUUCUCCAGUCUGGUAAUGGCAGAGAAUUUGUAAUUUCUGUAAUAACGAAAUUGCAUGAAAUGUGGGCUUCGGUAAAUAUAGUCCAUGGAAAACUUCAAUGUAGCCAGCCGCAAGGUUUAGUGGUAAAAGUAUCCAGGGACGUUGAAUCUAUAUUGGCUACAUGGAUGGUAGAAAACAACACCCGAGAUUGGCCAUCGGGACUGAAAUUUGUGCAGUUUCAGAAAAACCAUGAAGUACAUUUAGGUAUAGGAAAAUCUCCAUUCGAAGCUAUGUUCGGCUCACAAGCAGUAUAUGGCCUUAAUUCCAUCAGUAUUCCCACUGAACCAGUUGACUGUAUACGUUCAGAGGAAGACUUGGUACAAACAUUGACAAUUGAUAACUCGGAACGAUCUAUCCAACCAACAUGGCAUCGUGUUGUGAAAAAUGAAUAAUAUACCACUUGUUAAACCCUACUGACAAAAUAAGGGGCUGAAUUAAAAUAUCUGACUUGCAUUUGGAAUCUAUUCAAAACAACAGAAAAAGUGCAGGUGAAUGUUUUGGAAAGCAGAUUAGGAAAAUAUUGAAGCGAACAUGAAACAAGUUUCCUCCAGUUGAACUGGAAGCGAUGGUUCGUCUAUCAAUUUUUAACGUUGACAGGAGUCGUGAAUCUCCAAACAAUAUUCUAGCCAUGACGAAGAGUGUUGAUGAGGACCUGUACGCACUGUGCUCUGAACAUGAACAAUUCAAGCACAAGUACAUGCACGCAGAAAUACAUUUGUGCUCUGAAAAAUUAUUAGACUUAGCUAUUGUUACUGCAAAAGCGGAUAACAUUUGAGAAAAAUCAAUUUUUAUUUCUCUGAGGAAGGUGGUACUUUUUAACAGUGUGCUAAGAUUACAGGUGUAUAAAAAAGGAAAUGUAAAAACAAAUGUGUUUAAUAGUGGUGUAUCAAGGUCACAGGGGUAUAAGAAAAGAACUGUAAAGCCAAAUGUGUUUUAAAAAAGAGCCACCGGUCAACUCCGUAAUUUCAAGUGCUGCAAUAAAUGGCACUUAUUAUUAAUUGGACCAAUGGAAAGUUCCUAUCAUCUAGUGACGUGAGCAGCGACAACUUGCGGUAGUAUUUAAAACUAGUAUUGAUAUCUCGUAAAGAUCGAUGACCUAGGGAAAAAUAACCAGAGACAUUGAACGUGCGAAUCAGAGCAAGGAUAUAGUCGUGCAGUGUGAGAAUAAAUAUUACUAUCCCGAAUCUCUACGUUACACAGUUUGUUAGUGCUUACAAUCGUACGCAAGUCUUAUGCAUCAAAGUGAGGAGGAAAGUGUUAUAACAAA